CACGUAGGGGGCAAGCGUUGUCCGGAUUUAUUGGGCUUAAAGAGCUCGUAGGCGGUUUCGUAAGUCGGGUGUGAAAACUCUAGGCUCAACCUAGAGACGCCACCCGAUACUGCGAUGACUAGAGUCCGGUAGGGGAGUGUGGAAUUCCUGGUGUAGCGGUGAAAUGCGCAGAUAUCAGGAAGAACACCUAUGGCGAAGGCAGCUCUCUGGGACGGUACUGACGCUGAGACGCGAAAGCGUGGGGAGCGAACAGG
rnacentral:rRNA from 1 species